UUUUAUUGGUUCAAUGUAAGCGUAAUUAAUCAUUUUCUUGAUUGAUCGCGAGUUAAAAUCAAAUACUUACACGAAGUUUUGAACGUAGGAGUGAUACAUUAGAUAAAAAUGUUAUCUUAUCGAUAAUGGGUAAUGUCAUGUUAAGUACAAAUAAAAUUAUGAUCAGUUUUAAAUGGUAAUGGUACACUAUUCGGUGGCGAUUUUUCUUUUAAUCGUAAAUCUAUAGUGACUUGGUUUAAAUUAAUCGCUUGGCGGCGUCGCACACGCUGCCGUGGUUGACUAGGCGUCGCGACGCUGUACCACGAGGGACGUCCAAGCGUCGCCAACAAUUGCCGUCUGCCUAACAUGUUCACAGGAUGUCCCGAAAGAGAUUGAUAAAAUCCUUACCGUUGGACACAAAAAGGCACUCUUGCAAGAAUGUGCCGCUAAUAACGCUUUGUGCAGUAUUAUAGAUUGUUGGUUGAUAUUUUGGAUUUUCCAUCAAUUGCCAUACAAAACAAACUCGUUAGUGUCAUCGGAAGUCAGUCGUCGGUACGCGUACGGUUCGAGAAGUGCUACCGAACGUUUCGUAUUUUACAUUGUUUUUAAUAAAAUGACGGCCAAUAUGAUGAUUAAGGGUAAGUUGCAAUCAACAAAAAUUUACAAUACAAAAAAUGUAUGCAAAAUAAUAUCGAACUUUUGCAAUGUUUUCGCCGAUUUUAUUUACGUUUAGGGGAUUCCCAAACUUUGAAAAUUGUUAAAUUAAUUCAAGUGAACUUUGUAUGCUACCUUCAAAGAUAUCUUCAAAAUCCUCUAAGAAAGCAACAUUUUGUUAUCAUAUCGUUACCUAUAUGGGAGCCGCGCUUCUUACUUUAAAAAUGUUUUUACUUACGCUCUUUUCAUAAGUUAUUGUUAUCGAGUUAAUUCGAUUUAAUUUUAUUUUAACUAUCUGGUUUAAAAACCUUUUACGUAUUUUAAAGGUCUACACCUUGUUUUGUUUUACAUUAUUCUAUUAAUGUAAAUGAAGAAGUUUUUUUUAUCACAAGAAAAGUAGGUAGUUAAAAACACUAUCAAGUACCUGUUUUAUAAUAAUAAAAAAAAUUAAUCUAGGUUUCGGGAGAACAAUUUCGUCGAACAAAUCUUUCUUAUAUUAAAACCCACUUGCCCUGUGCUUGUUUUUCUUUCUUUAAACUUGAUAACCUUAACAUAUUUUCGUUUUUCGGUAGAAUCGCGUAUUUAGAUUAUUUAAUAUUUAAUUUGUAAACAAAUUUUAAAUAUUUUGAUAAGUAAUUAUUAACACGAGCUGCUGUUUCUAACCGGAUUAAUACACAAAUUCUAUUUUAUUAAGAAAAAAAUUUAGUAGUAGUACUUCAAUAUGAAAAGUUAAAAAAAAUAUAGUUUUAUGAGGCUUAAGAAGAAUUUUUUUAAUGUUUAUAUACGACAUAGAGAUACUGGAUACUUAAAAGCACCUCUACUUUAGAAAGUCAAAUUUAAUACGAGUCAAAACAUGAAAGUCCAAUAGAGAAAAAUUAAUGGCGCUGGACAUAUCAAAUGUUAAUA